rnacentral:rRNA from 1 species
UACAGAGGUCUCAAGCGUUGUUCGGAUUCAUUGGGCGUAAAGAGCUCGUAGGCGGCUUAGUAAGUCAGGUGUGAAACCUCCAGGCUCAACCUGGAGACGCCACUUGAUACUGCUAUGGCUUGAGUUCGGUAGGGGACCAUGGAAUUCCUGGUGUAGCGGUGAAAUGCGCAGAUAUCAGGAGGAACACCGAUGGCGAAGGCAGUGGUCUGGGCCGAUACUGACGCUGAGGAGCGAAAGCGUGGGGAGCGAACAGG